AGAGUUUGAUCCUGGCUCAGAAUCAACGCUGGCGGCGUGCCUCAGACAUGCAAGUCGAACGAGAAGGCUCUUUCGGGAGCCGGAAAGUGGCGCACGGGUGAGUAACACGUGGGUAAUUUACCUUCGGGUGGGGAACAACAGCCGGAAACGGCUGCUAAUACCGCAUAAUGCAGCGGCACCUAAUGGUGACAGUUGUUAAAGCGGGGGAUCGCAAGACCUCGCGCCUGAAGAGAAGCCCGCGGCAGAUUAGGUAGUUGGUGAGGUAAUGGCUCACCAAGCCUGCGAUCUGUAGCCGGCCUGAGAGGGCGGUCGGCCACACUGACACUGAACAACGGGUCAGACUCCUACGGGAGGCAGCAGUCGGGAAUUUUGGGCAAUGGGCGAAAGCCUGACCCAGCAACGCCGCGUGAAGGAUGAAGUUUUUCGGAAUGUAAACUUCAUAAGAAUGGGAAGAAUAAGUUUUAGCUAACACCUGAAACGAUGACGGUACCAUUUGUAAGCUCCGGCUAACUCCGUGCCAGCAGCCGCGGUAAUACGGGGGGAGCAAGCGUUGUUCGGAAUUACUGGGCGUAAAGCGCGCGUAGGCGGACAUCUAAGUCAGGGGUGAAAUCCCAGGGCUCAACCCCUGGAACUGCCUUUGAUACUGAAUGUCUGGAGUUCGGGAGAUGUGAGUGAAAUUCGAAGUGUAAAGGUGAAAUUCGUAAAUAUUCGGAGGAACACCAAAAAGCCAAAGGCGGGGUUGGUUGGGCCCCGAAACUUGACCCCUGGAGGGCCCCCAAAAGCCCUAGGGGGGAACCCCAA
rnacentral:rRNA from 1 species